rnacentral:rRNA from 1 species
AGAGUUUGAUCCUGGCUCAGGACGAACGCUGGCGGCGCGCCUAACACAUGCAAGUCGAACGAGCGAGAGAGAGCUUGCUUUCUCGAGCGAGUGGCGAACGGGUGAGUAACGCGUGAGGAACCUGCCUCAAAGAGGGGGACAACAGUUGGAAACGACUGCUAAUACCGCAUAAGCCCACGGUGCCGCAUGGCACAGAGGGAAAAGGAGCAAUCCGCUUUGAGAUGGCCUCGCGUCCGAUUAGCUAGUUGGUGAGGUAACGGCCCACCAAGGCGACGAUCGGUAGCCGGACUGAGAGGUUGAACGGCCACAUUGGGACUGAGACACGGCCCAGACUCCUACGGGAGGCAGCAGUGGGGAAUAUUGCACAAUGGGGGAAACCCUGAUGCAGCGACGCCGCGUGGAGGAAGAAGGUCUUCGGAUUGUAAACUCCUGUUGUUGGGGAAGAUAAUGACGGUACCCAACAAGGAAGUGACGGCUAACUACGUGCCAGCAGCCGCGGUAAAACGUAGGUCACAAGCGUUGUCCGGAAUUACUGGGUGUAAAGGGAGCGCAGGCGGGAAGACAAGUUGGAAGUGAAAUCUAUGGGCUCAACCCAUAAACUGCUUUCAAAACUGUUUUUCUUGAGUAGUGCAGAGGUAGGCGGAAUUCCCGGUGUAGCGGUGGAAUGCGUAGAUAUCGGGAGGAACACCAGUGGCGAAGGCGGCCUACUGGGCACCAACUGACGCUGAGGCUCGAAAGUGUGGGUAGCAAACAGGAUUAGAUACCCUGGUAGUCCACACCGUAAACGAUGAUUACUAGGUGUUGGAGGAUUGACCCCUUCAGUGCCGCAGUUAACACAAUAAGUAAUCCACCUGGGGAGUACGACCGCAAGGUUGAAACUCAAAGGA